rnacentral:rRNA from 1 species
AUGGCCAAAGACUUGCUCUGGGAGUUGGCCCUGAUGGCCUGGCCUCUCCUCAAGGAGGAGGCCGCGGAGCUCGCCAAAAGCGUGCUCCGCGAGCUGGCGCGCGAGGAGGCCAAGACGCGGCUCAAGGCCGCCGUCAAGGCUGGGGCGGAGGGCCUCAAGGGGCUUCUCGAGGCGCCUCCAUCCACUCCGACUCCGGCGCGGCCGGACGAGGUGGCAGACCCGCGUCAGGGGGAGCUGCUGGUCGAUAGAGCGGCUGUCUGCAUCGACCACGCCCCGCUGCUGCUGCGUCGUCCACAGCUUCGCCAUCUCCCCCCCUUCGUCGACGACGUCGUCCUCGCCAGGGUGGCGCCCAGCCUCCUCGGUCGGCUCGGCCCCCAGAUGGAGCCGGCCGUUCAGGCGCUGCUGCGCGGCAAGGUGAUCGCCCCAGGGGUGCAGUCGGCUCUGCGCUCCGGCCUGGAGCUGCCACCCGCAGUCAGGCAGAUGCUCGCCGGCAAGUUCCAGACGAGCGGCGUGCAGUCGGCUCUGCGCUCCGGCCUGGAGCUGCCACCCGCAGUCAGGCAGAUGCUCGCCGGCAAGUUCCAGACGAGCGGCGUGCAGAGCCUCGACUGCUCCACGCUCCUCGCCUUCGCCGCCAGGGCCCGGGCUGACGGCCCUUCUUCUUCCAUCACAGCCGCGACAGCGGGUGCGGCUGCCCAGGCGCUCCCCAGCCUACAGGACAUCGUCGUGUGCGCGCCCGCGAUAGGGGUGAUCGCCCUCGCCCUGUACCUGAUCUGGAGGCGGCCGGGCGGCGGCGACUGA